ensembl:rRNA 5S_rRNA 5S ribosomal RNA
GCUUACGGCCAUACCUCUCUGGCUCCGCCUGAUCUCGUCUGAUCUCAGAAGCUAAGCAGAGUAGGGCCUGGUUAGUACUGGGAUGGAGGACCGCCUGGGAAUCCCAGGUGCCGUAAGCU